rnacentral:rRNA from 1 species
AUUGAACGCUGGCGGCAUGCUUUACACAUGCAAGUCGAACGGUAACAGGCCGCAAGGUGCUGACGAGUGGCGAACGGGUGAGUAAUGCAUCGGAACGUGCCCAGUCGUGGGGGAUAGCGCAGCGAAAGCUGUGCUAAUACCGCAUACGAUCUAUGGAUGAAAGCGGGGGACCGUAAGGCCUCGCGCGAUUGGAGCGGCCGAUGUCAGAUUAGCUAGUUGGUGGGGGAAAGGCCCAGCAAGGCGACGAUCUGUAGCUGGGCUGAGAGGACGACCAGCCACACUGGGACUGAGACACGGCCCAGACUCCUACGGGAGGCAGCAGUGGGGAAUUUUGGACAAUGGGCGCAAGCCUGAUCCAGCAAUGCCGCGUGCAGGAAGAAGGCCUUCGGGUUGUAAACUGCUUUUGUACGGAACGAAACGGUCUGGGUUAAUACCCUGGGCUAAUGACGGUACCGUAAGAAUAAGCACCGGCUAACUACGUGCCAGCCGCCGCCGUAAAAC